rnacentral:lncRNA from 10 species
GUGGCCUUGUGUGGCCUGCUGCUUUCUCCCCAGUGAACUGUGAAUUACUAAUUGAGGCAUAUUUUGUGACUAUGGCAGAGGCAAAAAAGUACAAACAAAGGAGAAGGACUGAGGUGUUCUAUCUCUUUCCGGCACAAAUCAUCACUUCACAUAUCCCUUCUAGACAGCAGCUGUAUGAUAGCAUGAUACUUUUUUCUACUUGUUCUGAAGUGUGAACCGGAAAGAGCAGAA